rnacentral:misc_RNA from 1 species
GAAAAUAAAUAUCAACAGGUUUGAUCAAUUUCUCAAUAAAUAGUGACGUAAAAUCAGUUUAAAUAUAAAAUUAAGAAAUAUUCUUAUGCUACAUUUGUUGACUGAAUUAAGACCUCAAGUUACGAAGUUCUGACCAUAAUAUGCUUUUAUAUUAACAUUAAUUAGAGUUAAGCAUGAAAGAAGGCAAAUAUUAUUAAUUUUAACCAUUCUGGUUUGGAUGUUUGGAUUUUGGAAAUUGGAAUAUGCCUCGCUGCUCUUGCUAUUCAUUUAUUUUGUUUUAUUUUAAUUUUUUUAUGGAACUUGGAUUUCUUCAUGUUUAAAACCCUAUACUAGCGUUAUCUAUUAUUCACAAAUUUAUUAAGUUUUCCAAGCAUUGACCAUUGAGUGGCAGGAUGCUUGACUUUUGUCUGCUUGCAAUAUCAAUUGUUAUUUGAAAUUAGUAAUAUUGUGCCUAGGCAGGAAUUGGGACUCUUUUCUCACUAAGGAAUUUUAAGAUAUUUGCCUCUAUAUGUGACUACUUUAUAAUCAAAUGAACAAGUAGGUAAAAUUUAAAUUAUAAUGGAUCUGGGGCAAGUUUAAAGUGAUAAUUUAAAUUUUAGAUUCAUGAUAUUCAUAACGCUUAUAUAGUUCAGAAAGGUAGAUAUCUAUAAUUGAACAACAGUGAUUAAUGCUUAUUUUGCCUGAAAGAUAUGUAUGAUUAGGAAAUUGCACAUAAAUUAUAGAACAAUGCAAGUGAUGCACAUUAUUAUAGCAUUUUUAUGGUAGAUAAUUGUAAGUGGAAUAAAGGACAAUCCUAAUUAUGCUUUUUAUUGUUCAAUGUCUAAAUUUUAAGGCCUCAUCUCCAUUUUGAUGAAAAAUUGUAUAGCAGGCUUAGGUAAUUAUAUUCAGAUUUUGGCAAUCAUUAAUGAGUACUGGAUGCUGGAGUAUUUUCACGACCUCCAUUUUUUCUUCUGUUUUAAAUUACAGGCUCUAAAGGAU